CAGUCGAACGGUAGAGGGGGCAACCCCUUGAGAGUGGCGAACGGGUGAGUCAUAUAUCGGAACGUGCCCAGUCGUGGGGGAUAACGUAGUGAAAAUUACGCUAAUACCGCAUACGAUCUAAGGAUGAAAGCGGGGGAUCGCAAGACCUCGCGCGACUUGAGCGGCCGAUAUCAGAUUAGGUAGUUGGUAGGGUAAAGGCCUACCAAGCCAACGAUCUGUAGCUGGUCUGAGAGGACGACCAGCCACACUGGAACUGAAACACGGUCCAGACUCCUACGGGAGGCAGCAGUGGGGAAUUUUGGACAAUGGGCGAAAGCCUGAUCCAGCCAUUCCGCGUGCAGGAUGAAGGCCCUCGGGUUGUAAACUGCUUUUGUACAGAACGAAAAAGUUUCUAUUAAUACUAGGAGCUCAUGACGGUACUGUAAGAAUAAGCACCGGCUAACUACGUGCCAGCAGCCGCGGUAAUACGUAGGGUGCAAGCGUUAAUCGGAAUUACUGGGCGUAAAGCGUGCGCAGGCGGUUAUAUAAGUCAGAUGUGAAAUCCCCGGGCUCAACCUGGGAACUGCAUUUGAGACUGUAUAGCUAGAGUACGGUAGAGGGGGAUGGAAUUCCGCGUGUAGCAGUGAAAUGCGUAGAUAUGCGGAGGAACACCGAUGGCGAAGGCAAUCCCCUGGACCUGUACUGACGCUCAUGCACGAAAGCGUGGGGAGCAAACAGGAUUAGAUACCCUGGUAGUCCACGCCCUAAACGAUGUCAACUGGUUGUUGGGUCUUAACUGACUCAGUAACGAAGCUAACGCGUGAAGUUGACCGCCUGGGGAGUACGGCCGCAAGGUUGAAGCUCAAAGGAAUUGACGGGGACCCGCACAAGCGGUGGAUGAUGUGGUUUAUUCGAUG
rnacentral:rRNA from 1 species